GGGUUGUGAGGUUAAGCGACUAAGCGUACACGGUGGAUGCCUAGGCAAUCAGAGGCGAUGAAGGACGUGCUAAUCUGCGAUAAGCGUCGGUAAGGUGAUAUGAACCGUGAUAACCGACGAUUUCCGAAUGGGGAAACCCAGUGCAAUUCGUUGCACUAUCGUUUGAUGAAUACAUAGUCAAACGAAGCGAACCGGGGGAACUGAAACAUCUCAGUACCCCGAGGAAAAGAAAUCAACCGAGAUUCCCCUAGUAGCGGCGAGCGAACGGGGAGCAGCCCAGAGUCUUAAUCAGCAUUAGCAUCAGGAGAACGGUCUGGAAAGGCCGGCAGUAAAGGGUGAUAGCCCCGUAUCCGAAGGUGUUAGUGUUGUGAACUCGACGAGUAGGGCGGGACACGUGUUAUCCUGUCUGAAUAUGGGGGGACCAUCCUCCAAGGCUAAAUACUCCUGAUUGACCGAUAGUGAACCAGUACCGUGAGGGAAAGGCGAAAAGAACCCCGGCGAGGGGAGUGAAAUAGAACCUGAAACCGUGUACGUACAAGCAGUGGGAGCCCCACCACCAAAGCAUUUUCUGGUGUUGAGGACAACUUUAAAGUGACAUUCAACACGCGUUGGCGGAGCGUUUUUUGCGACGCCCAACACACAAAACAAGCAGUGAAU
rnacentral:rRNA from 1 species